GCUAUGCGCUAUUCGUGUAGGAUGAGAACCUGCUGCAGGUUCGAGUCGAACGAAGUGAGACAACGGAGCCGCUUGCGGCGACGGCCCGAAGGGCGAGCGAAGCGAGUCAUCCUGCACGACCCACCA
rnacentral:sRNA from 1 species